UACGGAGGAUCCGAGCGUUAUCCGGAUUUACUGGGUUUAAAGGGUGCGUAGGCGGGCCCUUAAGUCAGCGGUGAAAGUCUGCGGCUCAACCGUAGGACUGCCGUUGAUACUGGGGGCCUUGGAUGCGGUCGAGGCGGGCGGAAUGCGUGGUGUAGCGGUGAAAUGCUUAGAUAUCACGCAGAACGCCGAUUGCGAAGGCAGCUCGCCGGGCCGUGAUCGACGCUGAGGCACGAAAGCGUGGGGAU
rnacentral:rRNA from 1 species